rnacentral:rRNA from 1 species
UGUUGUGGCCAAGCCUCCUCAUCAAACCCUGAUCUCGUCAGAUCUCAGAGACUAAACAAGGCCAGGUCUGGUUAGUACUUGGAUGGGAGACGCCUGAGAAUACCAGGUGCCACAGUGA